UGAGGAACAUGACCUUCGGCGGGGGAUAGCCGGCCCAACGGCCGGGUAAUACCGCGUACGACCACUUUGGGACAUCCCUCGGUGGUGAAAGCAGCAAUGCGCCGAUGGAGUGCCUCGCGGCCUAUCAGCUAGUUGGUGAGGUAACGGCUCACCAAGGCAACGGACGGGUAGCUGGUCUGAGAGGAUGGCCAGCCACAGUUGGGACUGGAGACCACCGGCCCAGACCUCCGUACGGGAGCAG
rnacentral:rRNA from 1 species